GGGCGGAUAGCUCAGUUGGGAGAGCGCAGCCCUUACAAGGCUGAGGUCACAGGUUCAAUCCCUGUUCCGCCUACCA
rnacentral:tRNA from 17 species